UGUAUAUCUCAAAAAGCGGAGGAAAAGAAACCAACAGGGAUUGCCUUAGUAACGGCGAGUGAGCGGCAAAAGCUCAAAUUUGAAAUCUGGCACCUUCGGUGUCCGAGUUGUAAUUUGAAGAAGGUAACUUUGGAGUUAGCUCUUGUCUAUGUUCCUUGGAACAGGACGUCACAGAGGGUGAGAAUCCCGUGCGAUGAGAUGUCUAACUCUAUGUAAAGUGCUUUCGAAGAGUCGAGUUGUUUGGGAAUGCAGCUCUAAGUGGGUGGUAAAUUCCAUCUAAAGCUAAAUAUUGGCGAGAGACCGAUAGCGAACAAGUACAGUGAUGGAAAGAUGAAAAGAACUUUGAAAAGAGAGUGAAAAAGUACGUGAAAUUGUUGAAAGGGAAGGGUUUGAGAUCAGACUUGGUAUUUUGUAUGUCUUGCUUUCGGGUGGGGCCUCUGCAGUUUACUGGGCCAGCAUCGGUUUGGAUGGUAGGAUAAUGACAUUGGAAUGUGGCACUACUUCGGUGGUGUGUUAUAGACUUUGUUGAUACUGCCUGUCUAGACCGAGGACUGCGUCUUUGACUAGGAUGCUGGCAUAAUGAUCCUAAACCGCCCGUCUUGAAACCACGGACCA
rnacentral:rRNA from 1 species